ACUCCUACGGGAGGCAGCAGUGGGGAAUAUUGCACAAUGGGCGCAAGCCUGAUGCAGCCAUGCCGCGUGUGUGAAGAAGGCCUUCGGGUUGUAAAGCACUUUCAGUUGUGAGGAAGGUGGUGUCGUUAAUAGCGGCAUCAUUUGACGUUAGCAACAGAAGAAGCACCGGCUAACUCCGUGCCAGCAGCCGCGGUAAUACGGAGGGUGCGAGCGUUAAUCGGAAUUACUGGGCGUAAAGCGCAUGCAGGUGGUUUGUUAAGUCAGAUGUGAAAGCCCGGGGCGUCAACCUCGGAACUGCAUUUGAAACUGGCAGACUAGAGUACUGUAGAGGGGGGUAGAAUUUCAGGUGUAGCGGUGAAAUGCGUAGAGAUCUGAAGGAAUACCAGUGGCGAAGGCGGCCCCCUGGACAAAGACUGACGCUCAGAUGCGAAAGCGUGGGGAGCAAACAGGAUUAGAUACCCUGGUAGCACAGAG
rnacentral:rRNA from 1 species